rnacentral:rRNA from 1 species
CACAGGGAGGUAGUGACAAUAAAUAACAAUACAGGGCUCUUUGAGUCUUGUAAUUGGAAUGAGUACAAUUUAAAACUCUUAACGAGGAACAAUUGGAGGGCAAGUCUGGUGCCAGCAGCCGCGGUAAUUCCAGCUCCAAUAGCGUAUAUUAAAGUUGUUGCAGUUAAAAAGCUCGUAGUUGAAUUUUGGACUUGGGGUGUUGGUCCACCUAACAGUGCGCACUGAAUCUCCGGGUCCCACUUUUUGGUGUUGCGAUCUUCUCUUUAUUGAGUGGAUCGUCACCCAAGACUUUUACUUUGAAAAAAUUAGAGUGUUCAAAGCAGGCUUACGCUUGAAUACAUUAGCAUGGAAUAAUGGAAUAGGACUUUGGUUCUAUUUUGUUGGUUUGAAGGACCAAGGUAAUGAUUAAUAGGGACAGUUGGGGGCAUUAGUAUUUCAGGGCUAGAGG